rnacentral:rRNA from 1 species
GAUGAACGCUGGCGGCGUGCCUAAUACAUGCAAGUCGAGCGAACAGACGAGGAGCUUGCUCCUCUGACGUUAGCGGCGGACGGGUGAGUAACACGUGGAUAACCUACCUAUAAGACUGGGAUAACUUCGGGAAACCGGAGCUAGUACCGGAUAAUAUAUUGAACCGCAUGGUUCAAUAGUGAAAGACGGUUUUGCUGUCACUUAUAGAUGGAUCCGCGCCGCAUUAGCUAGUUGGUAAGGUAACGGCUUACCAAGGCAACGAUGCGUAGCCGACCUGAGAGGGUGAUCGGCCACACUGGAACUGAGACACGGUCCAGACUCCUACGGGAGGCAGCAGUAGGGAAUCUUCCGCAAUGGGCGAAAGCCUGACGGAGCAACGCCGCGUGAGUGAUGAAGGUCUUCGGAUCGUAAAUCUCUGUUAUUAGGGAAGAACAAAUGUGUAAGUAACUAUGCACGUCUUGACGGUACCUAAUCAGAAAGCCACGGCUAACUACGUG